CGGGCCGUAGCGCAGUCUGGUAGCGCAUCUGGUUUGGGACCAGAGGGUCGGAGGUUCGAAUCCUCUCGGCCCGACCA
rnacentral:tRNA from 1 species